rnacentral:rRNA from 1 species
ACAAGCAAGAAAGAGCACAUGGGGGAUGCCUUGGCAUCCGCCGGCGAUGAAGGACGUGAUAAGCUGCGAAAAGCUUCGGUGAGGCGCACAUAGCCAUUGACCCGGAGAUGUCCGAAUGGGGCAACCCAGCAGGCGCGAGCCUGUUACCGGUCACUGAAUCCAUAGGUGACCGGAGCAAACCGAGUGAACUGAAACAUCUCAGUAGCUCGGGGAAAAUAAAUCAAACGAGAUCUUCCUAGUAGUGGCGAGCGAACGGGAGAGAGCCUAAACCGGACUUAGUCCGGGGUUGUAGGGCCAGCCAUAUAGGAGUUACAAAGUGUAUCCUUAGCGGAAGUGAACUGGAAAGUUCCACCAUAGACGGUAACAGUCCGGUAUGCGAAAGGGAUAUGCCUCCUGGUUGGUACCUGAGUAGGACGGGACACGUGAAAUCCUGUUUGAAUCUGGGGGGACCACCCUCCAAGGCUAAAUACGAGCGGAUGACCGAUAGUGAACUAGUACCGUGAGGGAAAGGUGAAAAGAACCCCGGGAGGGGAGUGAAAUAGUACCUGAAACCGUGUGCUUACAAGCGGUUGGAGGGAGGCAAGUCCUCCUGACAGCGUGCCUUUUGCUUAAUGAGCCAGCGAGUUGCUCGUAUGCAGCAAGGUUAAGGGCUUACGGCCCGAAGCCGCAGGGAAACCGAGUGUGAAUAGCGCGAUUGAGUUGCAUGCGGCAGACACGAAGCCGGGUGAUCUAGCCAUGAUCAGGUUGAAGCGGGGGUAACACCCCGUGGAGGACCGAACCUGUUAAGAGUGAAAACUUAUUGGAUGAAUUGUGGCUAGGGGUGAAAGGCCAAUCAAACUCGGCGAUAGCUUGUUCUCUUCGAAAUAUAUCUAGGUAUAGCGUCACGGACGAAUAUCCAGGGGGUAGAGCACUGAUUGGACUAGGGGGCAUACCAGCUUACCAAACCCAAACAAACUCCGAAUACCUGGCAUAUGCUCCGUGGCAGGCAGCCCGUGGGUGAUAAGAUUCACGGACAAAAGGGAAACAACCCGGACCAUCGGCUAAGGCCCCAAAGUCCAUGCUAAGUGGGAAAGGAUGUGGGAUUACUCAGACAACCAGGAGGUUAGCUUAGAAGCAGCUAUCCUUUAAAGAAAGCGUAAUAGCUCACUGGUCAAGUGGUUCUGCGCCGAAAAUUAACGGGACUCAAGCAUGGCGCCGAAGCCGUGGGUGCGAUGGAUCUUCGGAUCCAUUUCGCGGUAGGAGAGCGUUCCGCAGCCUGUGAAGGUGCAUCGUAAGGUGUGCUGGAGGUGGCGGAAAUGAGAAUGCUGGCAUGAGUAGUGAUAAGGGAGGUGAGAAACCUCCCCACCGUAAGUCUAAGAUUUCCUGAGUUAAGCUAAUCUUCUCAGGGUUAGCCGGCCCCUAAGGCGAGGCGGAAACGCGUAGCUGAUGGGAACAGGGUGAAUAUUCCCUGGCCGGGAUCAAAGCGUUUGACCGAAGAGGGGACGCAGGAGACAAGGAAGGCAGCCCGUUGGACGUGGCUGUCCGGGAGCGUAGGGUGUCCGGUAGGCAAAUCCGCCGGGCGUUAACCCGAGACUUCCGGGGAAGUGCGCUGCUUGCAGCAAACCAACCUUCUGGAAAUUCUGCCCAGAAAAGCCUCUAAGGGAGUGAUGGUCCCGCCCGUAUCGCAAUCCGACACAGGUAGACAAGGCGAAUAGCCUAAGGUGUUCGAGUGAACUAUGGAGAAGGAACUAGGCAUAAUGACCCCGUAACUUCGGGAUAAGGGGCGCCUGCCAUGGUGAAGUGUACAACGUAGCCCAGGCAGGCCGCAGAGAAUCGGUGGAAGCGACUGUUUAACAAAAACACAGGUCAAUGCAAACUCGUAAGAGGACGUAUAUUGACUGACACGUGCCCGGUGCUGGAAGGUUAACAGGAGAUGUCAGCCGCAAGGCGAAGCAUUGAAUCGAAGCCCCAGUAAACGGCGGCCGUAACUAUAACGGUCCUAAGGUAGCGAAAUUCCUUGUCGGGUAAGUUCCGACCUGCACGAAUCGUGUAACGACUUCCACACUGUCUCAUCCGUAGGCUCGAUGAAAUUGCAGUAUUGGUGAAGAUGCCAAUUACCCAUAUCUGGACGGAAAGACCCCGUGAACCUUUACUGUAUCUUGGCACGGAUCUUAGGUUGCGUUUGUGUAGGAUAGGUGGGAGACUUUGAGCCCUGGCCGCUAGGUCGGGGGGAGUCGACCUUGAAAUACCACCCUGGUGCAAUUUGAGAUCUAACCGGGACCCGUGAAUCCGGGCUCGGAACAGUGCCUGGUGGUCAGUUUGACUGGGGCGGUCGCCUCCUAAAGUGUAACGGAGGCAUUCAAAGGUUCCCUCAGCGCGGUCGGUAAUCGCGCGUAGAGUGCAAAGGCAUAAGGGAGCUUGACUGUGAGGCUGACAGGCCGAACAGCUGCGAAAGCAGGACUUAGUGAUCCCGCGAUAACGCGUGGAAGUGUCGUUGCUCAAUGGAUAAAAGGUACUCCGGGGAUAACAGGCUGAUCUCCCCCAAGCGUUCAUAGCGACGGGGAGGUUUGGCACCUCGAUGUCGGCUCGUCGCAUCCUGGGGCUGGAGAAGGUCCCAAGGGUUUGGCUGUUCGCCAAUUAAAGCGGCACGCGAGCUGGGUUCAGAACGUCGUGAGACAG